AACGAACGCUGGCGGCGUGCCUAACACAUGCAAGUCGUGCGAGAAAGUUCCUUCGGGAGCGAGUAAAAGCGGCGCACGGGUGAGUAACACGUAGGUAACCUGCCCCCCAGUCUGGAACAACUAGAGGAAACUCUAGCUAAUGCCGGAUGAGACCACGAUCCCUUCGGGGGUUGCGGCCAAAGAUGGCCUCUACUUGUAAGCUAUCGCUGAGGGAUGGGCCUGCGGGCCAUUAGCUUGUUGGUGAGGUAACGGCUCACCAAGGCUGUGAUGGCUAGCUGGUCUGAGAGGAUGACCAGCCACACUGGGACUGAGACACGGCCCAGACUCCUACGGGAGCAGCAGUGGGGAAUAUUGCGCAAUGGGCGAAAGCCUGACGCAGCGACGCCGCGUGGGUGAUGAA
rnacentral:rRNA from 1 species